UCAGGGGGCACGUUUGUUAGAAAUCGAAGCACCCAACAGUGUUGAUAAAAAGGGACUUGGAGGGUGUGUAGUGACCUCAUGGUAGGUGAACCACACGGCGGAGGUGAGCAGCACCAGCAGCAGCAAGAGCUUGAACUGCUUCCGGAUCUUCUUCACGGGGAAGCGCAGCAUCCUGGCUCACACAUCCUCCGGUAGCCGCCCGGUACAGACAAGAGCAUCGUCCGACCCGCUUGUCGCCGUGCGCGAGGAGGAGGAGGAGGAGCGGGAGGAGAGCCAGCUGAGCUCCGGGAAGAGGGUCGCGCGCGGACCAGCAGCCGGCGGUGAUGUAACCAGAAAAUAACAUGGUUUCUUUUUUGUUGUUGUUGUUGUUGUUGUUUUGCCACGACGGAAACGCGUGAACGCGGUGUCUCCUGUCGCCGCACGGCUCCGGUACGCCCAUCAGCUGAGCAUCUCGGACGGUGCAGAGCAACCUAACCUGGGCGUACGUACGGGGAAUGGCAAGAGCGGCGUCCAAUCACAAGCCCGCAACGGGUGCAGAGGGGUGGGACGGAGACGCCCGGCCUCACCGUUCCUCGGCGCGAUUGUUAUCUGUCAUCCAAUAGAUGGACGCGAAUCCUGAAACUUGUUAAGCUUUCCCAUUGUCUUCCCCGCCGCCCUCUUCUGCAUCUAAUGCUCAUCUGAUCAACAAUGAUUUAACGGAUCCGUUUUUCAGGUAAUGCAGACAAUUUAUAUCAUUGCUCCAGAUACCUUCUGUGCACAAAAAUACAUUUUUUUGUCAGUAUUUUCAUAUAAACAGUUACAUGUAAAAUAAUUGACUGGCAUGAAUAAUCAUUCUUUAUAGCAGCUGUAUACAUCACACCGGGAAAAUCAACUGGUUUGAGGGGUAUUAGUAAAUAUCUGGUGUAUUAAGAAAGAAAUCACCUCCGGUCCGAUAUUCAAAGGGAAGAGGACAACAUAUAUUCUUGAUUUUUUUCUCAAUUCAAUGUGGCUGAAAUAUCAUUCCUUAGAUUCACUUUGCAGCUCAUUGCACAGCAAGUUGUGCAUCGUGUGUGUGUCCGUGUGUUUGUGUGCUUGACUGCCACCUUCUGGUCUAC
ensembl:lncRNA